AAUUUGUGAUUGCCUAGCAUUUCUUCAGCACCUUCUUGGUCCUUCUGAAUAAAUAUUCCGUGUCGAUUAAUGCUGUAGGCAGAAGUUACUCAUAUCAGUUCUGCUCCUUAGGGGAAAAGGAAACUGUUAGUUGUUUCACAAGUAGAAUGACUCUGACUGCUUAGCUUUUAUUUUAAAUAGCUGUCUUUUCUUUUCCAGUUUAUUUGCUUUCAUUAUGGAAAUGCUUCCUUUUAAGAUUGCGUUUAUGAAUUAUUCAAGCAGAUGAUAUUUACCUUCCUUAGAAGGUUGUUCCUUAAAUUAUUGUUGUUUUGCAAGUGGUAUAUCUGCACAGCAGCCCUAAUAGAGCUUAUACAAAUAUACUGACGUUGUUUGGGCUUUGCCAGCUGUAUAUCUGUGGAAGGUACAGCAGCCUGCAGAAACAGCUUAAGACAUAAAUAAAUGUUUGUUUAAUGACCCCUUGCCUACUACAGCUACUCUGCUAGCUGAAUCCAGCGUGCAAUUAAGGAUGUCUGGCCUACAGUCAUGGAGGUGCUUGCACAGCUGACAUAAUUUCACAGAAACCCCUUGGCUGUGGCGAUCUCAUCGCUCCAGAAAGCAUGAUGGCAGCUGUGCAUUCUCAGCAGCAGCAGUUCCCUGGAUUCUGAUUUCCUGGAUGCAUGGAAAGCAGCUCUGUAUAACUUCAAGCCCUUUCUUCUGAGACCCAACAAUGAAUCAUGGCUUCUAUUAAAGUAAAGAGUGUCUGCAUGCAGGGAUCUUUGAAGAGGUGUUCUGAGAUCCACAGCCUACGCAAGAGUGUGUAAGAGACUGCAAUAAAGGAAACUAUAAUGAUUUUCCUGUUCUUGUGUUCUCUCCCAGUUGAGCACCUCAAAGCUGAAUGCUGCUACUCACUUGAACCAGCCUUUGCCAUCCUGGCCUUGAAGAGUUUGGGCCAUAGAAGAGGAAAGUACAGUAACUGUCCUGCUUUCUGAUAGCUGGCACUUAUUCUUGAGCUUGUCAACACCAUUUCUUCUAGGCCAAAGAGAAGAUGCCAAAACAGUGCUUGACAAAGGAAAAUAUUGAACUGUGGAGAGAGGAGACCAGCACAGUGGACUCUGCUUUUGCUCUAGAGCUUACGGGUGACUUAUUUCUCUGGCCAGAAAGAAAGAAACUGUAGAUUUCUCUCAUAGCUGACUAAAGUAUUGGCAAAUGGCUGCAUCUUCUAAGCAUGUCUGAGGGGUGAAGUAACCUUAAGUUUCCCUUGCUUUUGUUGUAUAAACAGCUUUAGUAUUGAUAUUAGCAGUUUGCACUUGAGCAAUGUCAUUGUCAUAUGAUGUGUGAGUCAUUCAUAGACAAUCAAAAAAGAGUUACCCAGGUCAUGCUUUUGGCCAUCUUAAGCCAGAGAUUGUAUUUCCCUUGGGCAGGCAACCAAAGGGAAAACAGAGACCAAAAGAGCUGGAAUUCAGUGAACUUGAGUAUUUGCUAUAACCUGGGCUAGGAGAAAAGUGAAGGCACAACAAAGGAGCUGCUAGGUGAAGACAAUCAUGCUCACUCUUAAUAGUGGUGUUGGCACAUUUUCAGACAGUCUUCAGUGUACCAUGUGGUUGGCAUGGCAUUUGUAUUAGAGUGGCAAGUUGCUUCUGUGGAAGUUAUGCACUCCUUUUGCUAUUGAUUACAUGGAAGUGUGGUAUGUAAUACAGCCUAACUUUCAGGUUUAAUACAUGCAAGUUCUGGACCAGAGUAUUACUUGGGGUAAAUCAUUGUGGUUUCUAUUGCUUCAGUUGAAUCUUGUUUGAUUUCUGCCUGAUGUGGAGCUGCUUUUUGUGACACUUCAUUUUGUGAAUAGCAGGUACUUGGAAUAAUGCUAGCUGAGCCUUUUUUCUUUUUCUCCAUUUUUUAUUUCACUGGAGAGCUGAAAUAUUUUUACAGGCUUGUUAGCACUCUUACAAACAGCAAACUACUGUGUAUGAGGAGGCUGUUGUUGUUGCCAGCUCCAUGUUUUUAUGACAAAUCUUGUGAUGUUUUGUUUUUCCUAAGAACCUCAGGUCUUGCAUUUCAUCAGAAUCUCUGUUUUCAUUUAAAAAAAUAAAAAUAAAAAAUUCCAGUUUGAUGUUGGCAUCAAAUGAGAGAAAAACUUGAAAAUGUUUGCAGCUUCAUCAUGAUGGCAAAAAAAAAACCAAACCUAAAUGCAUACAGGAACCCCCAAAUAUAGUAUUUUGCUUUAGAAAAGCAAACAAAAAAUCCCAAACCACCAAGCAAAUGAAAGACCUGUGGUUUUGAAGGACAGACUCUUACGUCUGUGUUGUGGUCUUUUACUGUAACUGUAAAAGUGACUUUUGUAAUACUUUUUAUAAAGGAUUUAUUUAUUUAUUUGUUUCAUUGCAGAUAAGCUUCUUGCAAAAUCCUUGUUUAAAAAGAGAAGAUGUUGAACCCUUUGAAAACGUUGGUCACUUGGUAACACAGAACUGCUAAUAGUCCCUGAACAGAUGUCUUGUUCCUUAGAUUUAAUUCUUGCUCUUAGUCUGCAUGUUCCUAAGCAGAAGGGAUGGAGGCUGACAGUAAUUCUUGUCCUAAAAUAUUGAGCUGCUCUGGGGUGCAAAAUGACAGUUAUUGCUAGUUAUUGUUCUUCACUCCUUGUAGAAUGUAUGCUGAAGCUAAUCCUCCUUUUUAUCAGAGUAAAUAU
ensembl:lncRNA